GUGUCAGCCGCCGCGGUAAUACGUAGGUGGCAAGCGUUGUCCGGAUUUAUUGGGUUUAAAGGGUGCGUAGGCGGUUCCAUAAGUCAGUGGUGAAAUACAAUAGCUUAACUAUUGAGGUGCCAUUGAUACUGCGGAACUUGAGUACAGACGAGGUAGGCGGAAUUGACGGUGUAGCGGUGAAAUGCUUAGAUAUCGUCAAGAACACCGAUAGCGAAGGCAGCUUACUAGACUGUAACUGACGCUGAGGCACGAAAGUGUGGGGAUCAAACAGGAUUAGAAACCCCCGUAGUCC
rnacentral:rRNA from 1 species